rnacentral:rRNA from 1 species
ACGGCUCAGUAACACGUGGAUAACCUGCCCUAUGCUCUGGGAUAACCUCGGGAAACUGAGAAUAAUACCGGAUAGAUCACAACGCCUGGAACGGUGUGUGGUUGAAAGGUUACGGCAUAGGAUGGGUCUGCGGCGUAUCAGGUUGUAGGGGGUGUAAUGGACCCCCUAGCCAUCGACGCGUACGGGUGUUGGGAGACAUAGCCCGGAGACGGAUUCUGAGACACGAAUCCGGACCCUACGGGGUGCAGCAGGCGCGAAAACUUCACACUGCAGGAGACUGUGAUGAGGGAACUCCAAGUGGAUGCACAUAGUGUAUCUCUUUUCUUUACUAUUAAUCGGUAUUGGAAUAAGGGCUGGGAAAGACCGGUGCCAGCCGCCGUGGUAAUACCGGCAGCUCGAGUGGUCGUCGCUUUUAUUGGGCCUAAAACGUCCGUAGCCGGUUUGUUAAAUCUGUGGGUAAAUCAACUAGCUUAACUAGUUGAAUUCUGCAGAGACUGCCAGACUAGGAACCGGGAGAGGUGUGGGGUACUCAAGGGGUAGGGGUAAAAUCCUGUCAUCCUUUGAGGACCACCAGUUGCGAAGGCGCCACACUAGAACGGAUUCGACGGUCAGGGACGAAGCCUAGGGGCACGAACCGGAUUAGAUACCCGGGUAGUCCUAGGUGUAAACGCUGUGAACUUGGUGUCGGGAGUCCGCAAUGGGCCCCCGGUGCCGGAGUGAAGAUGUUAAGUUCACUGCCUGGGGAGUACGGUCGCAAGGCUGAAACUUAAAGGAAUUGGCGGGGGAGCAC